GGCUGUGCAGCCCAAGAUGCCAGAAGCGUCGCCGGAGAGGAAGCAGCCGGCCAAGGGAAAACGUCUAGAACCUACUCCACUGCCGUAUCGGAGCACAUGGUAGCCAAUGGAACUAUCAGUGGAGAAGAAUGAUAAGUAACAAUCUACUACCUAUAUAGCACAAGAACAUAAUGAGGAAAUUAAUUCGCUCAACAAUUAUAGGAGGGAAGAGGAAGCAAAGUACAUCAGAUAAGGGUAUGUUGAAGAUAUCUAACCUUUUAUUUUGAUGUUACCAGUAAAGCAUUGCACUUCAUCACUGUUUCAAUUGUUUUAUUUAAUCUCUUUAUACUGUGUUUUUAUAAAUUCCCAAUUCCCUGCUUCAAAAGAUGAAUGAAUACAUCUAAACAGCUUAAAAUAAAUUUUUGUAUUCUAAAUUCUCUUCAAAAUAAACAAUAAAUUUACUUGGAAGAGCAUUUGCUUGGACCCUCAAAUAUUACAUGGAAGAGCAUUUGCUUGAGAAAGUAAUCCUGGAAAUAAGAGGGAGGUGUCAAUGGCAGAGGGGAAGGAGGGGAUUGGGUGGAGUUAGGGCAGAGAAGGUGAUGGUUGUAGGCGAAGGAAUUCUCUGGAAUUAUCUGGUGGAUGGGGGCAUGGAAUUGCCAUCGAGGUCGCUCGGAAUGGAGGCUGACAAUGGAGGGGGAUGAUGGAAAUCGCAAAGUCCACAAAGGAGGUCUAACCAGCAGUAGUUGUUGCUGCAAAAUCUGGGCUGCAGAUUUGGUGCAGUCAGCUACUGGGAAUAAUUGUUGCAGACUUGAAGUCUAAAUGUCCAAAGUACAUGCUGUUUUUGGUUGUUGUUCGGAAAGAACAAUUUCAGAACUUGCACAAUGCCUUUCCUGUCAUGAGGAUAAACAAUGACCAAAAAUUGAUCCAAAUUCAUGCACCAGAGCUAUUGGUAGUUCACGACAAGGAUUUCAGUUCUAAGGUGAAAAAUAAGAUGGUGGAUGAUGACGAUGUCAAAUACUAUGUUUAUUAAUAAUCAACUUAAUAUUUGUUUUAGGACUUUGACGAGGGUGAUGAAAGUGAAAGCCCUCGCGCUAUUGGUGCUGCUGACAAUCAAGUGGUUGUGGGGGAUAGUUCUGUUGUAAAGAGGCGUGUCCUGGACGAGUUCUCAUAAACUCAAUCUUCAAAGAACAAGACAGUGGUCAGUGUUAAGCUUGAAAGAGUAGAGAGAAAAGAUUCAAUCUAGAGUGGUUGAGGUCUUUACGCAAGAUAAUCACAGAUGUAGUUGCCUAGAAACUUGGAGAACAUAGUGAAGAUGACCAUAAUCCUCUAUAAAUUGGCAACGUGCAGAUGUCUACAUGUAAAGAUCUAGGGACAAUAUGUAAUUUAGGAUGUUUUGGGCCUAAAGGUUAGUGUGAUAUACCAUGCAUGAGCGACAAAAUAUGCGUGUUAGCAAAAAAAUGUAUUC